rnacentral:rRNA from 2 species
AAUCCAUAGGUUAAUGAGGCGAACCGGGGGAACUGAAACAUCUAAGUACCCCGAGGAAAAGAAAUCAACCGAGAUUCCCCCAGUAGCGGCGAGCGAACGGGGAGGAGCCCAGAGCCUGAAUCAGCAUGUGUGUUAGUGGAAGCGUCUGGAAAGGCGCGCGAUACAGGGUGACAGCCCCGUACACAAAAGCGCAUGUGCUGUGAGCUCGAUGAGUAGGGCGGGACACGUGGUAUCCUGUCUGAAUAUGGGGGGACCAUCCUCCAAGGCUAAAUACUCCUGACUGACCGAUAGUGAACCAGUACCGUGAGGGAAAGGCGAAAAGAACCCCGGCGAGGGGAGUGAAAAAGAACCUGAAACCGUGUACGUACAAGCAGUGGGAGCACCCUUUGGGUGUGACUGCGUACCUUUUGUAUAAUGGGUCAGCGACUUAUAUUCUGUAGCAAGGUUAACCGAAUAGGGGAGCCGGAGGGAAACCGAGUCUUAACCGGGCGUUAAGUUGCAGGGUAUAGACCCGAAACCCGGUGAUCUAGCCAUGGGCAGGUUGAAGGUUGGGUAACACUAACUGGAGGACCGAACCGACUAAUGUUGAAAAAUUAGCGGAUGACCUGUGGCUGGGGGUGAAAGGCCAAUCAAACCGGGAGAUAGCUGGUUCUCCCCGAAAGCUAUUUAGGUAGCGCCUCGUGAAUUCAUCUCCGGGGGUAGAGCACUGUUUCGGCUAGGGGGCCAUCCCGGCUUACCAACCCGAUGCAAACUGCGAAUACCGGAGAAUGUUAUCACGGGAGACACACGGCGGGUGCUAACGUCCGUCGUGAAGAGGGAAACAACCCAGACCGCCAGCUAAGGUCCCAAAGUCAUGGUUAAGUGGGAAACGAUGUGGGAAGGCCCAGACAGCCAGGAUGUUGGCUUAGAAGCAGCCAUCAUUUAAAGAAAGCGUAAUAGCUCACUGGUCGAGUCGGCCUGCGCGGAAGAUGUAACGGGGCUAAACCAUGCACCGAAGCUGCGGCAGCGACACUGUGUGUUG